CCUACGGGAGGCAGCAGUGGGGGAUAUUGCACAAUGGGGGAAACCCUGAUGCAGCGACGCCGCGUGGGUGAAGAAGUAUUUCGGUAUGUAAAGCCCUAUCAGCAGGGAAGAAAGAAGACGGUACCUGACUAAGAAGCCCCGGCUAACUACGUGCCAGCAGCCGCGGUAAUACGUAGGGGGCGAGCGUUAUCCGGAUUCACUGGGUGUAAAGGGAGCGUAGACGGCCGUGCAAGCCAGGAGUGAAAGCCCGGGGCCCAACCCCGGGACUACGCUUGGAACUGUGCGGCUGGAGUGCUGGAGGGGCAGGCGGAAUUCCUGGUGUAGCGGUGAAAUGCGUAGAUAUCAGGAGGAACACCGGCGGCGAAGGCGGCCUGCUGGACCGCGACUGACGUUGAGGCUCGAAAGCGUGGGGAGCGAACAGGAUUAGAUACCCCUGUAGUC
rnacentral:rRNA from 1 species